GGCGAGUCGAGCCUCCCUGUCAGCUGUCAGUAGAGCUAAUCCAUCAUGUGAGAGGCAAUCGCAUUGCCUAUCGCUACCAAGAAUGCUGCCAAGAAUUAACCCAUCACAUGUCGCCCCACUACCAAGAAUUAUGAAAUCUAAUCACCUUGCGUUGCGCCUUCCACGGUUUGACCGAUCAUAAUCGGCAGCACUACCAAGAUUGCCGCCCCCGGAGAUAUGAACGUAGCGCCAGUACGUAGUUUGGACUGACAUCUAUUGCUGUAUUUUUGAAAUGGAGCCUCAAGUCAGAAAGAAUACUGAUGGCAGCAUCAUACUGUCUGAUUCACUGGAAGCACUCAGGAUUAAAAGGGAGAACAAGGAGAGACCAUGGUCGCAUCCUCUUUCUCCUGAGCAGGUACUGGAGUCUGCCAGUAGUGCUGCUGUACUAUAGGGCAAUGACCCAGCCGACAAAAGUUGUGUGCUGGGUCUCCAUCAGUUACAGUUUGGCCUAUUCAGGGGCCAGACCUUCUAGUGGGUCAUGGAGAAUUGUCUAGGGUAUGGAGGAUACCUUGUUGCCUCGAUGAUCCGGGAGACAGGCGAAGUGAAAGACUCCAGGAACCAUCGAGCCAACAAGGAGGCUUUUAAGGAGUAUAUGGAGCUGUUUCCAGAGGGCCGGGAAGCCAUUUCAAUCAACAUCCAGCGCCCAGACCCCCACCAGCACCCAUCCCUCCACCACUGUACAGCCUUUGUCCAGCCUACCAUCGCCCAGGAGUCAUCCUCCAGUGCCAGCCUCCUCACUGCGAUCCCUCCUGAUUGGGAAGAGCCUGACUCAAGGGACCCUUGACAAGUCUGUCAAGACUUCUCUCCUUCCAAGUUUCAGCCUUCUGUUCCAGCAGUGACUCGAGGUGUGGGUUCACAGGAGCUUAGCGACACGGACGACAUGGAGCUUGUAGCACCAGCAGAGGAAUGAGAGGCCCUAGCAAGGGCACAGUUUGUCUCCCUGCUAGCUGGAUACCUGCCUUGCCUAUCCUUGACCAGCAAUGGAUCUCCAAUGCCCUCUUCAAGUGGUCACGGGCUGGCCAGCCAGAGUUGACGAGACGUGGUGGUAACCUCCACAGCCAUCACUUGCCCCACAGAGUAUUCCAGCAAUGGAGAGGUACUUCGCUCAUGCCUUGAUGCUCUGGAUGCCAAGGAAGCUCUGGCGUGUGAGGAUGUUCUGUCCACAUGCAGACUGUGCCAAAGAGGAGCUCACCUCUGCAGGACUGCAUCAGAGAAUCAGACAGGUGAUAGGUGUCAGCAGCACCUACUUCAUGGCAGCAGAGUAUCUCAGCUGUAAGCGCUGCAAGAGGAAGGUGAUCAGCUGGAGCCACAACAUUGUCUACCAGCUGGACAUUGGCCACCAGGUCCAGUUUCCCUGUGUCCUCACCUCCAAGCUGGGCUGUGACAUGCAGGUGGUACGGCAGAUGUGGCAGAGGGGCCUAGAGAACAGCAGCAGCCAGGUUCAGAAGCAGCUGGAGGACCAGCAUGCAGAGAGGUGGCUGGAGAAACAAAUUCAGUUCCUCACGGACUACAGAGGAGUUGCACAGGCCGUCUCCUCUGGACUUAUUUCACCAGUCUCGCUGGGGGACUUGCCUGCUAUGCCUGCAGUGCCAAAACAUCGCUGGCUGGUGCAGGUAUAUGCCCAGGAUGUCCUCCGCAGGCUGGAUGAAGUAAAGGCCUCCAUCACCUCACUCUUCGGCCAGGUACUAAAAAUGGACUCCACAAAAAAAGAUUGUGAGGAAGCUGGCUGGUCAGGCCCGGUCUACUGCUGCUUGGGCCACUAACAUUGGCAAUGAGCAUCGGCAUGUCAUCAUGUCAGGGCUGGGGCCUGAUGAAGAUGGCAGAUGGUCUUGUGAGGCGCUUCCGUGAUGCUGGGGUGCCACCCCCAGAGAUCCUAUAUAUGGACCGUGACUGCUGUGGGAACUCUCACUUAUACAAGAUCUUUGGGGCAUGGCGAUCCUGUUGGAUGUGUGGCACUUUAUGAGCAACUGAUUCACAUGCACCAGUUUCAUGGCCCAACUCACCCGCUGCAUCUUUGUGUGGGAUGAGUGACCUGUAGUGACUCAGGGAAGCCAAGCGAGCGGAGCUGGAAGCAAGCCAUAUGCGUCCCACAUCACCAAGGCAGAGAUGCUGCUUCACUGUCCGGGAAAGCAAGGAGAUAGAAGUCAAGGAGUUGAUCGAGGCAUAUGAUGGAGAGAAGGAACCCUGGCAAGUGACUUUUUUCCAGGCCUAUUCUAGUCGAUGGUCUUGCCAGAUGGAAUGAAGACAGGACCAUGACAGCAGAGGGGAUGGAAGGGCCACACUCAUACAGUGGCCUUCUUAGGCAUGCUGCAAACCAGUUGUCAGAGGAGGUGCUUGGGAAAAAACUGGUGCCAUACACAGAACCAUGGAAGUACACAGGAGAGCUUAUAGGUAUUGAAUACCUGUACAGCCAAAACAAUACUGUCAUGGAGGACUACAAGGCAGCCCUCACAACACUUGAAACAGAGGACAUCACUGUUGCAGAGGGGGAGUCUCAUAUGGAGCAGUUUGAUGUGGAGGAUCCAACUGUUCCCUCCCUGGACACAAUAUGGCCAGGAAGGCAACAACAGUGCACUCAGUCAGCCCCUACUCUGUCAAAUAGACCUCCAGCUAGCAACAGCACCACUCUGCCUGCACCCACAGCACUGCCUGCAACUGCGUCACAGAUAGCACCACCAGCUGAACCCUCUACAUGUAGUACGGUUUCCAUUAUGCAGAGUGUUCCUGAACGCAGUGGGAUAGCUACUGGAUCUUAUCCCAGCCUUGGACCCCAGCUCCAAACCUCCACUCAGAGACUUCAUACUUCCAGGGAUGGGGCACUGCUCUGCACUCAUCAGGUUUCCCCAUCAAGACACACCCAGCUUGGCAGAUGAACAGCCUUCAACAUCAUCAGGACUCGGUUGGACCUGACAACAUUGAGGGCUCCAAAGCAGACUAUUUAUUCAAAUUAAGAGACCACAGUCUUGCCCUGUCAAGAGAGGAGGCUGCCCAGAUCUUUGUCCUGUGGGAGUGUUUGUCCGAAUAUGACAAAGGACGCACAAUAUACCCUCCACGCCACCAGGAUACGAUCCCUAAAGGCAGAUUUAGGGCCACAAAGAAAUGUGUGGCACCUGGUGUAGAGAGUACAAAACGAUGCUUUGCAGGAGGGAGAAGCCCAGCGCAGUGGCCUGACUGCAAUCGUGUGUGUGAAGCACUUUUUGUGCAAACUCUGUGAGGAGUACAGUGGACCCAGGCGCAUUGAUGGAGUCAGGUACGAGCGUUGGAGCCUUGUCACCAGAGCAUACCUCCACAUCCGGCAAGUCAUUUUAAACAAUGCCAUGGUGAUGGCAAAGACCACUAUCCAGCUCCCAGUAAUGAACAGUGCAACCAUCGCUAGUUGGUACUGCAGACUUCAAAGACAACAUGAGAAGAGUGUGCUGGAGCAAGGCAUCUCCACUCCAGACCACCAUCGUGAGCCGAGAGCGCCUGCCUCCUGCAGUUGAGAGGAAAGGCAGACCAUGUAUGCCUAACAGCAGUGUGGCAAAUCCCCAUGUCUUUGUUCUGCCCCCUAACACAGCAGGGAUGGCCUACCUAAAACAGAGACUGAUCUUGCCAGUGGCUCCAUCUGCUGGUUUUAGACUGCCAUACAUUGUACCUCUCCAGGCAACCAAACCAGCUCCUCGACCUCUCCUGUCUGCACCCCAACUUCUCCUGCCUGCAUCCUCAUCCCUCCUGCCUGCUUCUCAGUGGUUCUUCCCAGACCUGCAGUAGCUUCCGUGCCAGAUGUGCCUUACAACACCCAGCAAUAUCACAAGAGGAAAAGACAGGAGGAGGAGCAGAGUGGUAAAAUGAAGAGGAAGUAUACUAAGAAGACUGAAACCAUCACCUGCAAGUGGUGUCAGAGGAAGAGAGACAUUUCCACCCACCAGCAGUACUUUGGAAACUGGUACUGCCAGGCCACAGCCACCAUGACUCUGGCUGCACUUGAAGCCCAGGGGUAUGGCAAAAAAAAAUAAAUUAAAUACAGAUGCUCCACACUGAAAGUAUGUGUACAUGCUAUUAUACACUAUUGUAUUUAAGGAGCUCUCUCUCUCUCUCGAUGGAUAUAAGGUAUUCUAUUGUGUUCUAAGGUUUUUCUGUUCCAUCACAAAUUCCUGUUGAGCUAUUGUUGACAUGUGUAAAUAUGUGUAUAUAUUAUUAAAUUACAAUGAACACCCACCGAUUGCACUUAUUACUGCACUGUUUAUUUGUUUUUAAUACCUUGUUAUUAAAAUGACUCAAUACUAAA